rnacentral:rRNA from 1 species
UACAGAGGUCCCAAGCGUUGUUCGGAUUCACUGGGCGUAAAGGGUGCGUAGGCGGUCGGGUAAGUCUGAUGUGAAAUCUCACAGCUUAACUGUGAAACUGCAUUGGAUACUAUCCGGCUAGAGGAAUGGAGGGGAGACUGGAAUACUUGGUGUAGCAGUGAAAUGCGUAGAUAUCAAGUGGAACACCAGUGGCGAAGGCGGCUCUCUGGGACGGUACUGACGCUGAGACGCGAAAGCGUGGGGAGCGAACAGG